rnacentral:lncRNA from 1 species
UGAUAGGGAACAGGCCACGCCCACCAGAUGCUGUGUGUAGCAUUCAGCCAUCACCGCUUUUGGAGAAAAAUUUGAGCGACUGUAACUUGACGUGUGAAAGGUGCAGUGGACCAUUAGUAGACAUGUGGUCUCAAUGAUCCGAUCUCAUGUUGACAUAUAUAGGAAUCCUGCGCUGCACCUAAGCACACAGGUAGGGAGUCAGUAGGUGGGGGCAGGUGCCAGCUAUAUAUACAGCUGUGCGUAAUUGCUACAGGAACAUUGUGAGAGUCAGCAAGAAGGUCAUGGAGUAUCACACGACCAGCUGAGCUUUCACACUCACACACAGCUCGCAGCCACACCCUGCCAGAGGUCAGGGGUCAAGCUGGUCAACCGCAAUGGCAGAGCCUGAUCACUGGGCGUACUCCCUGAUGG